AGUGAACGCUGGCGGUAGGCCUAACACAUGCAAGUCGAACGGCAGCACAGAGGAGCUUGCUCCUUGGGUGGCGAGUGGCGGACGGGUGAGGAAUACAUCGGAAUCUACUCUGUCGUGGGGGAUAACGUAGGGAAACUUACGCUAAUACUGCAUACGACCUACGGGUGAAAGCAGGGGACCUUCGGGUCUUGCGCGAUUGAAUGAGCCGAUGUCGAGAUUCGGUAGUUGGCGUGGUAAAGGCCCACGAAGGCGACGAUCCGUAGCUGGUCUGUGAGGAGGAUCAGCGACACUGGAACUGAGACACAGUCCAGACUCGUCCGGGAGGCAGCAGUGGGGAAUGUUGGACAAUGGGCGCAAGCCUGAUCCAGCCAUACCGCGUGGGUGAAGAAGGGCUUCGGGUUGUAGAGCCCUUUUGGUGGGAAAGAAAGCCAGCUGGCUAAUACCCGGUUGGGAUGACGGUACCCAAAGAAUAAGCACCGGCUAACUUCGUGCCAGCCGCCGCAGUAA
rnacentral:rRNA from 1 species